UUUUUUUAUGAUGAUGAUGAUGAUGAAACCAGACGACCGAAUUUUUUCAUUCUAUAAUGCAAAAUAAUCUCAUGUGAAUAGAAAUGUUAUUUUUGGGUGCCUAAAAUGAACCAAAAAAAAAAAUAUAUAAUAGAAAACAAUGAUGACGAUCAUGAUGAUGAUGAUGAUGAUGAUGGACAUGGCAACACAUCGCACACACUUGUGAAUAAUUUUCAUGAUACAUUCAUCAUCAUCAUCGUUAAAUGAUUUACAAUGAUGAUGAUGGCAAUGGCAAUGGCAAUGAAAUAUUCAUCAUCAUCAACAUCAACAUCGUGUGACAUAUAUUUCAUGAAAUUCGAAACUUGGAAAUUGUUGACAACAACAGCAAUAUAAUAAUAAUAAGAUUAAGACAAAAAAAAAAUAAUUCGAUAAGAAUACGCGGAAAACAAUUGUAUGGGAAAAUUUAUUUAAAAAACAUUGAACGGUAAACUUUUAACGAUUCUUGUUUUGGUUAUUUUUUUUUGUUUGAGUGAAAAAAUUAAAUUUUUUUUUUGUUCGUUUUA